GGGAAUAUCACACUCUGGGGACUGUGGUGGGGUGGGGGUAGGGGGGAGGUAUAGCAUUGGGAGAUAUACCUAAUGGUAGAUGAUGAGUUAGUGGGUGCAGCACACCAGCAUGGCACAUGUAUACAUAUGUAACUAACCUGCACAAUGUGCACAUGUACCCUAAAACUUAAAGUACAAUAAAUAAAAAAAAAGAUGGAAAGGAAAAACUGGUACCAGCCACUGCAAAAAUGUACUGAAGUACAAAGACCAAUGACACUAUGAAGAAACUGCAUCAACUAGUGAGCAAAAUAACCAGCUAGCAUCAUGGUGACAGGAUCAAAUCCACGCAUAACAAUAUUAACCUUAAGUGUCAAUGGGCUAAAUGUACCAAUUAAAAGACACAGACCAGCAAAUUGGAUAUAAAGAGUCAAGAUUCAGGUGUGCUGUAUUCAGGGUUCCUAUCUCAUGUGCAAAGACACACGUAGGCUCGAAGGGAUGGAGGAAAAUUUACCAAGCAAAUGGAAAGCAGAAAUAAGCAGGGGUUGCAAUCCUAGUUUCUGACAAAACAGACUUUGAAUCAACAAAGAUAAAAAAAAAGACAAAGAAGAGCAUCACACAAUGAUAAAGGAAUCAAUUCAACAAGAAGAGCUAACUAUCCUAAAUAUGUAUAUACCCAAUACAGGAGAACCCAGAUUCAUAAAACAAGUCUUUAGAGACCUACAAAGAGACUCAGGCUCCCAUACAACAAUAGUCAGAGACAUUAACACCCCAUUGUCAAUAUUGGAUCAUCUAGACAGAAAAUUAACAAGAAAGGACUGGAACACAGCUCUGGAUCAAGUGAAUCUCAUAGAUAUCUACAGAACUCUCCAACACAAAACAACAGACUAUAUAUUAUUCUCAGUGGCAUAUGACACUCUAAAGUUGAUCACAAAAUUAGAAUUAAAACACUCCUCAGCAAAUGCAAAAUAACUGAAAUCAUAACAAUCUCUCAGACCACAGUGCAAUCAAAUUAGAACUCAAGAUUAAGAAACUCACUCAAAACCACACAACUACAUGGAAAUUGAACAACCUGCUCCUGAGUGAGUUCUGGGUAAAUAAUAAAAUUAAGGCAGAAAUCAAGAAGUUCUUUGAAACCAAUGAGAACAAAGAGACAAUGUACCAGAAUCUCUGGGAGGCAACUAAAGCAGUGUUAAGAGGUAAAUUUAUAGCACUAAAUGCCCGCAUCAUAAAGCUAGAAAUAUCUCAAAUCGAUACCCUAACAUCACAACUAAAAGAACUAGAGAAGCAAGAGCAAACAAAUCCAAAAGCUAGCAGAAGAGAAAAAAAAAUGACUAAGAUCAAAGUGGAACUGAAGGAGACAGAGACAUGAAAAACCCUUCAAAAAAAAAAAAAAACAAGAAAUGUGUUCAAAUAGCAAGAGAUAAAAUCAAAUUGUCUCUGUUUGCAGAAAACGUGAUUCUAUAUCUAGAAAACCACAUUGUCACAGCCCAAAAACUCCUUAAGCUGAUAAGCAAGUUCAGCAAAGUCUGAGGAUACAAAAUCAAUGUGCAAAAAUCACAAGCAUUCUUAUACACCAGCAAUAGACAAUAUUCUUCAAUUCCUAUACACCAACAAUAGACAAGAGAGCCAAAUCAUGAAUGAACUCCCAUUCACAAUUGUUACAAAGAGAAUAAAAUACCUAGGAAUACAGCUAACGAUGGGUGUGAAGAACCUCUUCAAGGAGAACUACAAGCCACUGCUCAAAGAAAUAAGAGAGGACACAAACAAAUGGAAAAAUAUUCCAUGCUCAUGGGUGGGAAGAAUCAGUCUCAUGAAAAUGGCCAUACUGCCCAAAGUAAUUUAUAGAUUCAGUGCUAUUCACAUCAAACUACCAUUGACAUUCUUCACAGAAUUAUAAAAAAACUACUUUAAAUUUCAUAUGCAACCAAAAAAGAGACUGAAUAGUCAAGACAAUCCUAAGCAAAAAGAACAAAGCUGGAGGCAUCAUGCUAUAUGACUUCAAACUAUACUGCAAGGCCACACUAAUCAAAACAGCAUGGUACUGAUACCAAAAUAGACACACAGACCAAUGGAACAGAAUAGAGAUCUCAGAAAUAAGACCACACAUCUACAACCAUCUGAUCUUUGACAAACCUGACAAAAACAAGCAAUAGGGGAAGGAAUACCUAUUUAUUUAUUUAUUUAUUUAUUUUGAGACAAAGUCUCACUCUGUCACCAGGCUGGAGUGCAGUGGCAUGAUCUCAGUUCACUGCAACCUCUGCCUCCCGGAUUCAAGCGAUUCUCCUGCCUCAGCCUCCCGAGUAGCUGGGACUACAGGUUCGAGCCACCACGCCCAGCUAGUUUUUGUAUUUUUAGUAGAGACGGGAUUUCACCAUGUUGGCCAGGAUGGUCUUGAUCUCUUGACCUCAAGAUCCACCCGCAUCAGCCUCCCAAAGUGCUGAGAUUAUAGAUGUGAGCCACCGCACUUGGCCAGGAUUCCCUAUUUAAAUGGUGCUGGGAAAACUGACUAGCCAUAUGCAGAAAACUGAAACUGGACCUCAUCCUUACACCUUAUGCAAAAAUUAACUCAAGAUGGAUUAAAAACUUAAAUGUAAAACCCCAAACCGUAAAAAACCCUAGAAGAAAAUCUAGGAAGUUCCAUUCAGGACAUAGGCAUAGGCAAAGAUUUUAUGAUGAAAUCAUCAAUAGCAAUUGCAACAAAAGCAAAAAUUGACAAAUGGGAUCUAAUUAAAUGUAAGCACUUCUGCACAGGGAAAGAAACUAUCAUCAGAGUGAACAAGCAACCUACAGAAUGGGAGAAUAUUUUUGCCAUCUACCAAUCUGACAAAGGUCUAAUAUCCAGAAUCUACAAGGAACUUAAACAAAUUUACAAGAAAAUAAUAACCCCAUCAAAAUGUGGGCAAAGGCCAUGAACAGACAUUCUGAAAAGAAGACAUUUAUGCGUCCAACAAACAUAUGAAAAAAAAAAAAGCUCAACAUCAGUGUUUAUUAGAGAAAUGCAAAUCAAAACCACAAUGAGAUACCAUCUCAUGCCAGUCAGAAUGGCAAUUAUUAAAAAGUCAAGAAACAACAGAUGCUAGAGAGGCUAUGGAGAAACAGGAACACUUUUAUACUGUUGGUGGGAACGUAAACUAGUUCAACUAUUGUGGAAGACAGUGUGGCAAUUCCUGAAGGAUCUAGAAGCAGAAAUACCAUUUGACCCAGCAAUCCCAUUACUAGGUUUAUAUCCAAAGAAAUCUAAAUCAUUCUGUUUUAAAGAUACAUGCACACUUAUGUUUAUUGCAGCACUAUUCACAAUAGCAAAGACAUGGCAUCAACCCAAAUUUCUAUCAAUGAUAGAUUGGAUAAAGAAAAUGUGAUACAUAUACACCAUGGAAUACUAUGCAGCCAUAAAAAGGAAUGAGAUCAUGUCUUUUGCAGGGACAUGGAUGAAGCUGGAAGCCAUAAACUUCAGCUAAUUAACACAGGAACAGGAAACCAAACACCACAUGUUCUCAUAAGUGGGAACCGAACAAUGAGAACACAUGGACACAGGGAGGGGCAGAAAACACACCGGAGCCUGUUGGGAAGGUAGGGGGAAGGAGAGCAUCAAGAUAAAUAGCUAAUGCAUGUGGGGCUUAAUACCUAGGUGAUAGGUUGAUAGGUGCAGCAAACCACCAUGGCACAUGUUUAACUAUGUAACAAACCUGCACAUCCUGAACAUGUAUCCUGGAACUUAAAAUAAAAUAGAAAAGACAAAGAAGGAUAUUACAUAAUGGCAAAGGCUUCAAUUCAACAAGAAGACCUAACUAUCCUAAAUAUAUAUUCAUCCAACACAGGAGCACCCAGAUUCAUAAGUAAAGUUCUUAGAGACCUACAAAGUAUGUUUCACAGUAAUAGUGGGAGACUUCCACACUCCAAUGACAGUAUUAGACAGAUCAUUGAGGCAAAAAAAUGAACAAAGAUAUUCAGGACCUGAACUCAACAUUGGAUCAAAUGGAUCUGAUAGACCUUUACAGAACUCUGCACUCAAAAACAACAGAAUAUGCAUUCCUCACAUCAUCAUAUGCCACAUACUCUAAAAUCAACCACAUAAUUGGACAUAAAGCAAUCCUCAGCAAAUGCAAAACAACUGAACUCAUACCAAAUACACACUGAGAUCACAGUGCAGUAAAAAUAGAAGACUAAGAAAAUUGCUGAAAAUCAUGCAAUUACAUGGAAAUCAAUCAACAUGCUCCUGAAUGACUUUUUAAUAAAUAAUGAAAUUAAGGCAGAAAACAAGAAGUUCUUUGAAAAUAAUGAGAACAAAGUUGCAACAUACUACAGCCUCUGGACAUAGCUAAGGCAAUGUUAGGAGGGAAAUUUAUAGCACUAAAUCCCACAUCAAAAAGUUAGGAAGAACUCAAAUUAAUAACCUAACAUCACAACGGAAAGAACUAGAGAAGCAAGACAAAACCCCAAAGCUAGAGGAAGACAAGAAAUAACUGAAAAUCCGAGCUGAAUUGAAAGAAACCGAGACAUGAAGAAAAAAAAAUUCAAAAGAUCUACGAAUUCAGGGUAGGUUUCUUGAAAAUAUUAAUAAGAAAGUCUGCUAGCAGACUAAUACAGAGGAUGAUUGAAAUAAACACAAUUAGAAAUGACAAAGGGAAUGUUACCACUGACCCCACAGAAAUAGAAACAACCAUCAGAAACUACUGCAAACACUUCUAUGCAUACAAACUAGAAAACUUCAAAGAGAUGGAUAAAUUCCUGGACAAAUACACCCUCCCACAACUGAGCCAGGAAGAAAUUGAUUUACUGAACAGACCAAUAACAAGCUCCGAAAUUGAAUCAGUAAUAAAUAACCUACCAAUCAAAAAAAGCCCAGAACAUGAUGGAUUCCCAGCCAUAUUCUACUAGAAAUACAAAGAAGAGCUGGUACCAUUUUUACAGGAACUAUUUGAAAAUAUUGAGGAGGAGGAACACCUCCCCAACUCAUUCUAUGAGGCCAACAUCAUCUUGAUACCAAAAUCUGGCACACACACACACACACACACACACACACACACACACACAAACUUCAGGCCAAUACCCUUGAUGAACAUCAAUGCAAAAAUCCUCAACAAAAUACUGGCAAACCAAAUCCAGCAGCACAUCAAAAAGUUAAUCCAUCAUGAUCAAGUAUGCUUCAUCCCCAGGAUGCAAGGUUGCCUCAACAUACACAUGUCAAUUAAUCUGAUUCAUCCCAUAAACAAAACUAAAGAUAAAAACCAUGUGAUUAUCUCAAUAUAUGCAGAAAAGGCUUUCAAUAAAAUUCAAGGCCUCUCCAUAUUAAAAACUCUAAAAAAUCUGGGUAUUGAGGAAACAUAGCUCAAAGUGAUGAGCUGUUUUUGUACCAGUAUCAUGCUGUUUUGGUUACUGUAGCCCUGUAGUAUAGUUUGAAGUUGGGUAACAUGAUGCCUCCAGCUUCGUUCUUUUUGCUGAGGAUUGCUUGGCUAUUAGGGCUCUUUUUUUUUUUGGUUCCAUAUGAAUUUUGAAAUAGUUUGCUCUAGUUCUGUGAGGAAUGCCAUUGGUAAUUUAAUAGGGAUAACUUGCAUCUGUAAAUUACUUUGGGCAGUAUAGCCAUUUUAAUGAUGUUAAUUCUUCCUAUCCAUGAGCAUGAAAUGUUUUUCCAUUUGUUUGUGUCUUCUCUGAUUUCUUUGAACAGUGUUUUGUAAUUCUCCUAGAGAUCUCUUAGAGAUCUUUCACCUCCCUGGUUAGCUGUAUUCCUAGGUAUUUAUUUUUUCUGUGUGUAGCAAUUAUGAAUGGGAUUGUGUUCUUCAUUUGACUCUCUGCUUUACUGCUAGGAAUUUUUGCACAUUGAUUUUGUAUGCUAAGACUUUGCUAAAGUUUAUCAGCAGAAGGAGCUUUGGGGCUAAGACUAUGGGGUUUUCUAGAUAUAGAAUCAUGUCAUCUGUAAACAGAGACAGUUUGACUUCCUGUCUAUUCCUCUCUUCCCUCCUCUGUUUGGAUGCCCUUCCAGUUUUGCACAUUCAGUGUAAUGUUGGCUGUGGGUUUGUCAUGGCUAGCUCUCAUCAUUUUGGCACUUCCGACUAGAAGUGCAAGAGGGGCCAGUGUUGUUGUUACCUGAAAGGUAAGUGCAGCCCACAAAAAUGCAGUGAAGAAGAAGAUAUAUGCAUAUGUUUAAGUUAAUACAAUUGAGAUACAUUUAGCAGACAGAAUCAAUAGAGUUGAUGAGUGACUGACUGGAUGUGUGGGGAGUUUAUAUCACUCCCAGGUUUUUGACUUGGGCAACUGGGCACUCAAGAAGGAAAAAGAGGAUCCAGGGAGAGGAACUUUUCUGAGGACUGGGGUAGGGCUGAACAGCUGCAUUCGAGACUGGUGGAGGGUGGGCUGGGCAUGGGAUGCACAAAUGGAGAUUCCACUGGGUCUGCAGCUCACACAUAGGCAUGACCAGCAUAGAGAUAGAGAGGCCCCAGUGCUGCUGAGUAACUGUGAUUCCCCAGGUGAUGGCAUCAGCUGAGAAGGGAAGGAAGCCUAUGUGAGGACACUGAAGAAGGAGUGAGCAGACAAUAAGAAGCCCACAGAAGACAGAGAAGGAACAACUAGAGGGAGAAGCCAAGGCAGGCAUGUGUGGUAACAUAUAGGAACUGAGGGAGAGGACAUUUCAAGAUGGAGAGGAUGCCAUACAACAGGACUAUGUGAUGGUUUUUGGCUGUGUCCAUAGGAAGUCACAACAGGCAAGGGAAAGAAACCAGAACCCAGUCAUGGAGUUAAGAAGUGAGUCAGAGAGGAGAUGGGUAGGGACAGUGAGGUAAGGCCUCUUUUUAAGGAAGUUUGGCUGAAGGAUAGACUAGCUGGACAUAUAUGCUGGCUGUGUGGGGUAGAGGGAGGAAUGAUGGAGGGUAGGAGAGCCUUGAGCCUGCGAGAAGAGUCUCCUAGAAUAGAGAAGCUGAGGUUAAAGUUGUGGAAGACAGUGGGGAUAACUGAGUGACAGAUAAUCAGGAGAAGAAAAGGAGAUCCAGAAUCAUGACAGAGAGAUGACCUUUGCCAAGAGCACAGCCAUCUUUCACUGCACAGAGAGGUAGGACAAAACGAUUGGUGUUCAAGAAUUGGUUUGUAGCACAAUAUUUUAACUAUGUCCUUUAAAAAGUUUCUCCACAGACACUACCCAAAGCAGUCCUUCACUACAGUGGCAGACAGACCUGAAAAUUUUCAUCUGAAGCAGCAGAGUGAACUGCAGAGUCAGGUCACCAACCAGUGUGGAGGCUAAAAGCGGGCCUCUUCGGGGAUUCCAGGUGGAAGUGUUGGACAUCUGUAGUAUUCCUGGUCUCGAAUCAUCCUGAUAUUCUUCAUUUUGUUAUUCACAUUGGACUAGGGCAAGGAAAUGAGUUCUGGUCAGAGUCAAUGUUUCCCAACAAUGUUGAUUUAUUUGGUCCUAAAUAUUUAAACACAUUUUAUAAAUAGCUUUUCCACACCACAUAUAUAGGGAAAAACGGAAUUAACUUGGCCCAGCAGCACUGUUUGUGGGGCUAACAACCUGUGUAUCUCACACCAACCCUAAGCUUUGUUUCCCUCCUGUCACUUUGCUCCUAUUUCUUUCAUAUGAAAGAAUGUUCAUUUUCUUUGAAAAUGAGCUCAUUUCCUCAUUUUCUUUCCAUCUUUCAGCAGGAACAAAGAUCACCACAACUGGCUCCCCUUCAACUAUGUUAGAUGGCAACUUGCAUUCAGUAUGGUGAAACACAUCAGUUAAGACUGGGGUUGUGCAUGGCAGGACUUUCUACAAGGACACCCAGUCUCCUUAAUAAACAUGAGAUGCUCUCUUUCCAGAAGUUCUCUUGCCUGACACAGCAUAGGAAGAUGCUGAACGGCCACACAGUGAUCCAUUGGUCAGUGGUGAUGUAAGGAGGUCGGAGGGGAGGAGUGAGGAGAAGUAGGGAAGACUAGGUGGUUGUAGGCCUCCUUCAUCUGUUCAUUGGCUGUGGCAUUAGGCCAGCUACUCUUUGCACUUCUGUAAAGUGAGACGGUCGAUCUUGUCUGCCUCUCUAGAGGAUGGCUGCAGGUGUCAAAUGGGGUAGUUAGGUGGGAGGGCAUUUCACACCCUAUUUUUAACACCAUAUUUACCACCACCAUUUCACACCAUAUUUUUAACAAAGUUAAAAAAUAUGACUUUGGAGGCUUGUUAUAUUGAUGAGGAUUAUAAUCCCUGAGAAUUCCUGGUAUGAAAAAGGGAAAAGAAGAUAAUUUGUGAAAGAAAUAAGUGUCCAGUUACUAGUCUUUGAAAAGGGUCAGUCUGUAGCUCUUCUUAAUGAGAAUAGGCAGUUUUCAGUUGCUCAGGGUCAGAUUUCCUUAGUGGUGUAUCUAAUCACAGGAAAGAUUGUGGUUCCCUCCAGUCUCUUUCUGGGGGAAUUGAGCCCACUUCUCAUUUCAUUUAAUUAGAUGAAAUAGAACUCAAAGUACAAUUUACUGUUGUUUAACAAUGCCACAAAGACAUGGUUGGGAGCUAUUUUUUGAUUUGUGUAAAAUGCUGUUUUUGUGUGCUCUAAUGGUUCCAAAAAUUGGGUGCUGGCUAAAGAGAGAUACUGUUACAGAAGCCAGCAAGAAGACCUCUGUUCAUUCACACCCCCGGGGGUAUCAGGAAUUGACUCCAGUGUGCAAAUCCAGUUUGCCUAUCUUCUCAAGUUAGGGUUAAUCGGAUAAUUCUGGAGAAGUACACAUUGAAAACUAGAACUAAGCCAAGCAAUUAAAUACAUUUCCUGCCUAUUACAUGCCUUGGUACUGUGCAAAAGAGCUCACAGGGCAUCUGAGGAAAGAUCACUAACACACACCUCAAAUGACUGUGUCUGAUUUCCU
rnacentral:lncRNA from 1 species